rnacentral:rRNA from 1 species
AAAGCAAUGCGUUUGUCUCCGACCUGGUAAAACCACAAAGCCUGAGCACGCAACAAAACAGAGGAAGCUUUGUUUUCAUCUACUUCUACUCAAAAGCAUCCAGCUUUCCAGGAGAAAAGAAGGGAGCGAUUCCGUCUGUAUCCUCCGACUCGCCGAGUUCGUGACCCCGCCUCGCCGCCGGACCCUAGAAGAAGCGGCCAGGCGUUUCCGCGCCAACCGCCAAACGAGCUGCAGAGCUCGCACCUUCUCUUUCUUCCCUUGGUUUGAGUAGCCGUGGCGGCCUGCUCCGGCCGGUGCCGCUCAGAUCUACCGCGGCAGAGGGGAAGCCCCGGGUUCAUGAUGGAGCACACCGCCGUCGGCGAGGAUCAGGCCAUGUCCGACCUUCGCGAUAAGCAUCGCCUGGACCUGGAGAGUUUAACGCUGACAUCACAGCCAUUCAAAACACUCGCAUUAUUUGUGCUAGCCAUUGGACAGAGUAUAAGAAGCACAUGUUCAUGUGUUCUGAAAGAAGGUUCUCGGUUGAAGUUCCUGGUUCCGUUGCUUGGUGCUACCUGUGUGCUUCUCUUGGUAACUGAUGGCCCACAUGAGAAGCAUAUGCAGGAACUGCUUUGGUAUGCCAGAUUUGGAUUAUGGUGGGUCAUACUAGGGGUGGCUUCAUCCAUUGGAUUAGGCUCUGGCUUGCACACCUUUGUGUUGUAUUUAGGGCCUCAUAUCGCCCUUUUCACAAUGAAAGCGGUUCAGUGUGGCCGGGUUGAUUUAAAGAGUGCUCCUUAUGACACUAUUCUUCUUAAAAGGAGGCCUUCAUGGUUGGAGAAAGAAUGUCUGGAGUUUGGACCUCCAAUAUAUCAGGAAACAAUCCCAUUCAGCAAAAUACUGCAUGAAGUUCAUCUUGAAGCUGUUCUUUGGGGCAUUGGAACUGCACUUGGAGAGCUUCCUCCAUAUUUUAUCUCUAGAGCAGCUAGCAUGUCAGGCCAAAAAGUAGAGGAGUUGGCAGAAUUGGAUGCUUCUAUCUCAAAAGAAGGUUUUCUAUCAUCAAUUCUACGGCGGGCCAAGCGCUGGCUUAUGUCUCACUCACAAUAUCUUAACUUCCCUACAAUACUGCUACUUGCUUCGGUGCCAAACCCUCUGUUUGAUCUUGCUGGCAUUUUGUGUGGACAAUUUAACGUCCCCUUCUGGAAGUUCUUUCUGGCAACUUUAAUUGGGAAGGCCAUUAUCAAGGUUUAUAUGCAGACAACAUUGGUAAUUACUCUCUGCAACAACCAACUUCUUGAAUUGGUGGAGGAAAGGCUUGUAUGGGUGUUUAGCAAUUCCCCUGGAGUAUCAUCCAUCCUUCCCUCUUUAGUCACCAAGUUGAAGACAGCUAAGGAUAAGUUUUUAAUGGCAAGUGUUGCUACAUCAGCUUCUAGUGCUGCGAAGGGGAAGAAGUGGAAUCUGUCGUUCUCUUUGAUCUGGAAUACCGUGGUGUGGCUCAUGGUCGUGAAUUUCAUCGUUCAGAUAAUCACUUCCACGGCACAGAGUUAUCUCAAGAAACAACAAGAGCUUGAGAUCAGCAUGAAGUCAUCAGCUACAAUGAGUUCCGCUUCUGAACCUGCUGCCGGAAUAUCAAAUUAAUCGAGCCAGGGCAUUUCAUCCAGACAGAUAUUCAAUUUAUAUUCAUGCCAUCAGUUCCUGCAUGAUACUGAUUUGGGAAUUCUAAAUCUGGUCAUUUACUGGAUAGCUGGCAUCUUCUCCAAGAAAUCACAUUGAUACAGUGUAUAUAGCCCACCCCAUCAAGCCAGCAUGACUGCAAAAUUAAGAAGCGCUGUCUGUAUUCUCGUGGAGCACUUGCUUAUUGAUCUACUUAGUAGAAAGUCAGCAAAAAAGAGAGGAGAAAAAAGGAAGUCACCGUCCGUCGGUCAAAAAAAAAAAAAAAACAGGAAGUUCGACUAGUGCGCAAGUGUAAUGUUGGCCUUGUACAUAGCAACCAAGAUAUUGCCAUGAAUUGCACAAUAAGCAUUAAGUUUGUGCCUACCAUCUUGAUGUUGUCGUUUUUGUCUCCGCAUUGGUCAUGAUCUGUCAAGAUCCGCCAUUUGUUCCUGAUGGCUACGCG